CACCAGCUGCCGACAGCAUCUCCCAGAUACCCUGGCAGCACCAGAUCCUGGUGUUCCCACGGCCAGGACAGCACGCAGCUGGCAGGUGGCUCCUGCAGGACCGAGCUCCAGCCACCAGCCUGCGGAGGCCAUGUCGGACUAUGAGAAUGAGGACGAGUGCUGGAAUGCCCUGGAGGGCUUCCGGGUCAAGCUCAUCUCUGUCAUCGACCCUGCCCGCAUCACGCCCUACCUGCGCCAGUGCAAGGUUCUGAACCCUGAUGAUGAGGAGCAGGUGCUCAGUGACCCCAACCUUGUCAUCCGCAAGCGGAAAGUGGGCGUGCUGCUGGACAUCCUGCAGAGGACAGGUCACAAGGGCUACGUGGCCUUCCUCGAGAGCCUGGAGCUUUACUACCCACAGCUAUAUAGAAAAGUCACCGGCAAGGAACCGGCUCGUGUCUUCUCCAUGAUCAUCGACGCAUCUGGGGAGUCUGGCCUGACACAGCUGCUGAUGACGGAGGUCAUGAAACUGCAGAAGAAGGUGCAGGACUUGACUGCGCUGCUGAGCUCCAAGGACGACUUCAUCAAGGAGCUGCGGGUGAAGGACAGCCUACUGCGCACACACCAGGAGCGGGUGCAGCGGCUCAAGGAGCAGUGCGAGGCCGGCGGCCGCGAGCUUAAGCGCUGCAAGGAGGAGAACUACGACCUGGCCCUUCGCCUGGCGCGCCUCAGCGAGGAGAAGGGCGCAGCACUCAUGCGGAGCCGCGACCUGCAGCUGGAGGUGGACCGACUCAGGCACAGCCUCAUGAAGGCAGAGGAUGACUGCAAGGUGGAGCGCAAACACACGCUGAAGCUCAGGCACGCCAUGGAGCAGCGGCCCAGCCAGGAGCUGCUGUGGGAGCUGCAGCAGGAGAAGGCCCUGCUGCAGGCCCGUGUGCAGGAGCUGGAGGCCUCCGUGCAGGAGGGGAAGCUGGACAGGAACAGCCCCUACAUCCAGGUGCUGGAGGAGGACUGGCGCCAGGCACUGCGGGACCACCAGGAGCAGGCCAACACCAUAUUCUCCCUGCGCAAGGACCUCCGCCAGGGCGAGGCCCUCCGCAACCGGUGCAUGGAGGAGAGGGAGAUGUUCGAGCUGCAGUGCCUGGCUCUGCGCAAGGACACCAAGAUGUACAAGGACCGCAUCGAGGCUGUCCUGCAGCAGAUGGAGGAGGUGGCCAUCGAGCGGGACCAGGCCAUGGCCUCCCGGGAGGAACUGCACACGCAGUGUGCCCGGAGCCUCCAGGAGAAGGAUGAACUGCGCAAGCGGGUCCGGGAGCUGAGCGAGAAGGCGGAUGAGCUGCAGCUGCAGCUGUUCCAGUGCGAGAGCCGGCUGCUGGCCGCGGAGGGCAGGCUCAAGCAGCAGCAGCUGGACACACUCACCCUGAGCUCUGAUCUGGAGGACAGCUCCCCCAGGAAUUCCCAGGAGCUCUCACUGCCCCUAGAUGUGGAGGAGGAUGCCCAGCUCUCGGACAGAGGACCUGAACUUUGGUCUGCCUAGAUCCUGGGAGAGUUAGAGGGGUCCAGCAGCCUGGAAAGUUCUGCUUCCAACUGCGGCAGUAUCCCAGCCACACCUCUGGAGGCCCUGGGCCCUCCUCUUGAGGUUGCCCCUGCCCACUCCUAAGAGCCACCACACCUGAAAAUGCUACUCAGCAACUGGGAACACAGCACAGCCUGACGGGGCUUGGGGCCACCUGAGAAAAGUGUCCUGGAGCCUUGGGGUCCUUGUUUGUCUGUUUGUCGUUGGUCUUUGGGGGCAGCCAGCUCAGGAGGAAUGGAUGGUUGAUGGAAGGAGUUGUGGGACUCUCUAGGACCAGCAGCCUCUGCCUGCCUCAGAAGGCUUCUCCUUGGAGUGAGGGGAGGCCAGGCUAGGGGUCUGGGCCUGUUUUCUUGCCUGACCAUGGAGACUAACUGGCCAUGAGGCCUCGCUGAGGGGGAGAGACAAGAGCAGCCCUUCGCAGCCCCGCAGAAGGACGCUGGCGCGAGCAGCGGCGAGCCCCCGGAGAAGGAGCGGCGGCGCCUCAAGGAGAGCUUCGAGAACUACCGCAGG